ACAGAAGCUCUGAGAUUCUACGUUUUGCAGCCACGGAGGGAAAGUUACCACACCUGCUUAACUGCUAAGCCGCUGCAGGCUUAUCAGCAGUAGUUCUCCACUGUCUGCUUAUCUGCCCAGUAGUAUGGCUGGGUGCUACACACCCCCAGUACUGCUUCACUGGGGAUGGAGUGGAGGUCCACAACAGGUCUGAAGAGUUGCAAGUGUUGCAUCCUUUCCCUCUUGUCAUCUGCUCCCAUGUGACUGCAGAGCCUGUGCUGUGCUCUUAGCUCACCCUGGAAAUGCUCCUUGCAAUGGAAGUAAGUACAGAGCUGGCACAGAAGACUUCACAUGUGAUAACAAUAUUAUUUGGGUUUAUUCUUGCUUUGAUUCCACUGGGGCCACUUGCUCUACACAGAGGAACUAAAGGUGGCAAAUCCUCUUACAUCCUCUUCCAAUUUUCAGUGGAAGGUCUAUGCCACAUCAACCACUUUGGUUUUUUGGAGAGGUUGAGCUUUUAUUGUUUUAAGAAAAGCCGGUUAAACCCAAACAGGAGAAACAACUGCAUCACGUGCUGUGGUUGGGAGUGCAGAGCAUUCACAUUCCAUCUGAUCUUGUGCUUCCACUCCCUGCACAUAUUAAAUGUGACAGCUAUUGGCACAAGUGUAGGCACAGAGAUGGGCAGGAGUAGUUUGCAAUGCCAGACAUUUUCCUUAAGGACUCAUCCAGUUUUCUAGAACCAAAGAUUCCCCUAUGGUAAAGUUGACAUCUUAAAGCAUUGUAGGAGGUAGAAGGAUGUGACUGUACUUGACCUGAACUCAGAUUAGGCAUGUCUGUGAUUCUGUAGCUAUCUUGAAGUUUGCCAGUGAAUAACAAAGUAUAUGAUAAAUGAAAAUAUGACUAAUUAAUCUGCAAG
rnacentral:lncRNA from 7 species